UACGUAGGGUGCGAGCGUUAAUCGGAAUUACUGGGCGUAAAGCGUGCGCAGGCGGCUUUGCAAGACAGAUGUGAAAUCCCCGGGCUCAACCUGGGAACUGCAUUUGUGACUGCAAGGCUGGAGUGCGGCAGAGGGGGAUGGAAUUCCGCGUGUAGCAGUGAAAUGCGUAGAUAUGCGGAGGAACACCGAUGGCGAAGGCAAUCCCCUGGACCUGUACUGACGCUCAUGCACGAAAGCGUGGGGAGCAAACAGG
rnacentral:rRNA from 1 species